rnacentral:rRNA from 1 species
CGCGAAUGGCUCAUUACAACAGCUAUAAUUUACUUGAUCUUGACAAUCCUACUUGGAUAACUGUGGUAAUUCUAGAGCUAAUACAUGCACCAAAGCUCCGACCGUAAGGGAAGAGCGCAUUUAUUAGAACAAAACCAAGCGGCUUCGGCCGUCCAAUGUUGACUCAGAAUAACUAAGCUGAUCGCAUGGUCUUGUACCGGCGACGUGUCUUUCAAGUAUCUGCCUUAUCAACUUUCGAUGGUAGUGUAUCUGACUACCAUGGUGAUGACGGGUAACGGAGGAUAAGGGUUCGACUCCGGAGAAGGGGCCUGAGAAAUGGCCACUACGUCUAAGGAUGGCAGCAGGCGCGCAAAUUACCCACUCUCAGAACGAGGAGGUAGUGACGAGAAAUAACGAGACCGUUCUCUUAAGAGGCCGGUCAUCGGAAUGGGUACAAUUUAAACCCUUUAACGAGUAUCUAUGAGAGGGCAAGUCUAGUGCCAGCAGCCGCGGUAAUUCCAGCU